UGCGUAGGCGGAAGAUUAAGUCAGUGAUGAAAUCCUGCAGCUCAACUGUAGAACUGUCAUUGAUACUGAUUUUCUUGAAUACAGUUGAGGUAGGCGGAAUGUGUAAUGUAGCGGUGAAAUGCUUAGAUAUUACACAGAACACCGAUUGCGAAGGCAGCUUACUAAGCUAUGAUUGACGCUGAGGUACGAAAGCGUGGGGAGCGAACAGGAUUAGAUACCCUGGUAGUCC
rnacentral:rRNA from 1 species